AGUCACUGACAUUAGAUACCCCGGUAGUCCCAGCCGUAAACAAUGUGCGUUAGGUGUGUCGGUAACCACGUGUUACUGAUGCGCCGAAGAGAAAUCGUGAAACGCACCACCUGAGAAGUACGGUCGCAAGGCUGAAACUUAAAGGAAUUGGCGGGGAGCACCACAACAGGUGGAGCCUGCGGUUUAAUUGGAUUCAACGCCGGACAUCUCACCGGAUAAGACAGCUGAAUGAUUGUCAAUCUGAAGGUUUUACAUGACUAGCUG
rnacentral:rRNA from 1 species